rnacentral:rRNA from 1 species
AGCAGCCGCGGUAAUUCCAGCUCCAAUAGCGUAUAUUAAAGUUGUUGCAGUUAAAAAGCUCGUAGUUGAAUUUCGGGAUCAAUAUUUCGGUCAUGCCGUUGGUAUGCACUGUUAUCAUUGAUUUCUCACCUUCUAAAGAACCGUAAUGCCAUUAAUUUGGUGUUACGGGGAAUUAGGACUGUUACCUUGAAAAAUUAGAGUGUUUAAAGCAGGCUCACGCUUGAAUACAUUAGCAUGGAAUAAUGAAAUAGGACAUCCGAUUCUAUUUUGUUGGUUUCUAGGAUCGAUGUAAUGAUUAAUAGGGAUAGUUGGGGGCAUUAGUAUUCAAUUGUCAGAGGUGAAAUUCUUGGAUUUAUUGAAGACUAACUACU